rnacentral:ncRNA from 1 species
AAGUAGAGGUCGCACGAUUCAAUAGUAACUGUACUGAUGUCCCCAAGCAUAUGAUGUGCAGCGAAAGGGGAGAGUGCCGAAGCAGAUUAUGUGGGAAGUUAUCUGCUGGGCGUAAGAUUAAUAAUCUUAUGACUGUCAUUAUAGACAUGUUUAUGUCAUAUGAUGGAGGGCUACGC